CAACAAGAAACAAUUAAGCGUACACACAGCAAGUCACACGCCCCUCGCACGCUUUGCGUCGAUCGACUAAGGCGCCGCCGCAAUUAAUCAAGACGUCAAACAUUCGGCUGUCAGUGAUAUUUCCGCUAAAACCACACUAUAGAAAUUCACUUCGAAAAGCAGCUCGGUCCAGUUGGCCGCACAAAGCACACGGUCAUUCUCGAAACGGUGGACCGGCCUUAUAGCACAACGGGAAGACAAAGCACGCUCGUAGGAGGCUGCAUCACUGGAAAGAUAUUUUCACCAGCACAGCUUUAAAGUAAGGCCGCUACUCACAGCUAAACGGACCUAGCAGGCAAGAUUAUUAAGACCGCUCACUCGAUUCACCCAAUCCGCAUGCGAUAAUCGGCAUAUGGGGAAGCAAAUCUGUCGAAGCGGUGGAAACCACGAACACGCAGAGGAAGAUCUGAAAGACAGGUUAGUUAUCGGAUGGUUCGCAAAGCGUGAUCUAAUCAGCACCAACUCGUUCCACAGCAUAACAAGCGAGACAAAGUCAAACGGAUUGAGUGUCCGUUGGGGAAUACGUGCAUCAUUACGACACGACGGGGAUCGAAAAGGUUCCCGUUUUUGUACAUCGAACGAAGUCGUUCCGGUCAUUGCGUGGUGAGAGAUCCGCGACGAACGAGGUGAGCGAUACCAUCGUAAAUACAGCACGUAAACUGCUGAGCCGUGAACGGCAGAGUUGUUGGAUUGAUAUUGGGCGCUCAGUCGACCACGUGUGGCAUAUUAUAGCAGGCGUGACCAGGAUUAGAGGGCGUGCUUCUUCGUGUUGGAAACGCGGUGGACCAACGAACUAACCCACCGAUUUUCGUAACGGUGGAUCAAAAGACAUAGGAGUGCUGCAAGACAAGCGUGGCGGACGAAUGGAAGUAACGUGACGUGUGUAGUGUGGGGCCCCGCUCAAGUGUAGUGAGUACCUAAAAUUAAGCAUGCAAUAGACAGGAGAAAGAGGAAAGAGGAUAGAAGGAGAGGAGAGAGAAGAGAGAAUGAACAAGAUGCAGUAGGUUAAGAAUAAAUGUAGUAGUUGGAAGAUGUGUCGUUGUUUUGUUGGUGCGUUCAG